GACGAACGCUGGCGGCGUGCUUAACACAUGCAAGUCGAACGGUGAAGCUCCAGCUUGCUGGAGUGGAUCAGUGGCGAACGGGUGAGUAACACGUGAGCAACCUGCCCCUGACUCUGGAAUAAGCGCUGGAAACGGCGUCUAAUACUGGAUACGAGAAGGGUCCGCAUGGGCACUUUCUGGAAAGUUUUUCGGUUGGGGAUGGGCUCGCGGCCUAUCAGCUUGUUGGUGAGGUAAUGGCUCACCAAGGCGACGACGGGUAGCCGGCCUGAGAGGGCGACCGGCCAAACUGGGACUGAGACACGGCCCAGACUCCGACGGGAGGCAGCAGUGGGGAAUAUUGCACAAUGGGCGAAAGCCUGAUGCAGCGACGCAGCGUGAGGGAUGACGGCCUUCGGGUUGUAAACCUCUUUCAGCAGGGAAGAAGCGAAAGUGACGGUACCUGCAGAAGAAGCACAGGCUAACUACGUG
rnacentral:rRNA from 1 species